UGUCGUUUUCUCGAUCUGCCU
rnacentral:siRNA from 1 species